AUCCUUUUGUGGUUCAUACACAUGAUGACUGGGUGUUCAUGCACCUGUGUGAGAUGUGCCUCCUUCAAAUUUUGUUACAUCAGCAUAUUCCCCUUCUGACA
ensembl:snoRNA